rnacentral:rRNA from 1 species
AGUGAACGCUGGCGGUAGGCCUAACACAUGCAAGUCGAACGGCAGCACAGUAAGAGCUUGCUCUUACGGGUGGCGAGUGGCGGACGGGUGAGGAAUACAUCGGAAUCUACUUUUUCGUGGGGGAUAACGUAGGGAAACUUACGCUAAUACCGCAUAUGACCUACGGGUGAAAGCAGGGGAUCUUCGGACCUUGCGCGAUUGAAUGAGCCGAUGUCGGAUUAGCUAGUUGGCGGGGUAAAGGCCCACCAAGGCGACGAUCCGUAGCUGGUCUGAGAGGAUGAUCAGCCACACUGGAACUGAGACACGGUCCAGACUCCAACGGGAGGCAGCAGUGGGGAAUAUUGGACAAAGGGCGCAAGCCUGAUCCAGCCAUACCGCGUGGGUGAAGAAGGCCUUCGGGUUGUAAAGCCCUUUUGUUGGGAAAGAAAAGCAGCAGGUUAAUACCCCGCUGUUCUGACGGUACCCAAAGAAUAAGCACCGGCUAACUUCGUG